GCGCACCAGUCGAGAAUACUUUACAAUGUGCGAAAGCACGAUAAGGGAACUCUGAGUGCCUCCUAAGGAGGCUGUUCAGGUGUCUAAAAAGCACCUGGAGUAAGGGCUGGGUAAGACCGGUGCCAGCCGCCGCUGUAACACCGGCAGCCCAGGUGGUAGCCACUUUUAUUGGGUCUAAAGCGUCCGUAGCCGGUUGAGUAAGUUCCUUGGGAAAUUUGGCUGCUCAACAGUCAAGCUUCCAGGGAAUACUGCUCGACUUGGGACUGGGAGAGGUCAGAGGUACUCCAGGGGUAGGGUGAAAUCCAUUAAUCCCUGGGGGACCACCGGUAGCGAAGGCGUCUGACCAGACCAGGUCCGACGGUGAGGGGACGAAGGCUAGGGGCGCGAACCGGAUUAGAUACCCCUGUA
rnacentral:rRNA from 1 species